ensembl:lncRNA
CGACAAAUCAAAACUUGUCGCCGGUUUUUUCUCGCGAAAAAUUCGCCCGAUAAGCGUCUAUGAUAUACGUUCACUUUGCAUGGGAUCCUGUCGCCCCGUCGCGUUUGGUGUAAAGUUGUGAACGCACAGUGAACGCACUGGAGAAGUUUCAAGACAGACAGACAAAAUUGUCAUUUUUAUUCAGAAAAUAGCCGGUCCCUUUGCUUCCUGUAAAAAGCAUAUUUGUGACACUGGAUAACAAUAUGGAUACAUCAUCUUUCCUGCAUGUGUAGGGCCGCAUAAGGUCCCUCUGGAUCUCCUCCAGCAUGUCCGUCUUGGAGAGCUUCUUCUCCUCCGUGGCUCCGUGACAUAAUCAGCCGCUGCCGAGCCCACGGCCUGCUCCCACAGCCUGCUCCCACGCUCCCACACUCCCAAAGUGGGCGUCUACGAAGGCCUCCAGCCACCUCCAGGAUACUGCUCCCCCGUUUGUCGAUCGUAGCAUGCCGGUCUCCCGCCCGGAAGAGAUUCUUCAGAGGGUUGUCUCUCGUGUUGCGAGGGACGGCAGGGAGUCAUGAAAUCAAAUGCUCUGCAUGGAGGGGAGGGGGGGGCAGCCAGUGAUGCAUUCGGCUGUCUUCAUCACCCUCUGGAGGGCCUUGGGAUCAGUGAGGAGCAGCUGCCGGACCAGGCGGUAACGCAGCCAGAGAGGAGGGUCUGAGUCUGGAUGGUGCACCAAUAAGAGCCAGGGAUAGAUUCGAUAGACAUGCUGAAGUUCUUGCGUCUCCUCAGAAUAGGUGCUUUUGGGGCGGAUUUUACUCCUGAGUCUGCUAGCCUGGACCAAGGUCAUCGUUGAUGAACACAGCAAGGAACUCGAAUCAGGAGACACUCUCCACACUCCUGCAGAAUCGAUGUUGCGAUCGGUACAACUAUAGAUUUGACACUGUGAGGUAUAUCAGAUGUUUCGAUGCAAUGUACAACAGUAUAGCCCAGACUUUUCCAAAAUUGUCAAGCGACGAGGUGGCAAAUGUGUUUAUUCGAAAUGCGAUAUUGCAAAUCGUUUCUUCAUUUUACCAGCUAGUGAACAAAUAUGGGAACUUGACUAAUAAUCUAUAUUAGCCUUCUGGAUAAUAUUACCUAUUAGGAGUAGACAAAAUGGCUUCUAUAUUGAACAUGACACUAAAUACUACAUUGCCUGAUAUUACAAAUACGUAAUUGAAGAUAAAAAAUAAGGUAGCUGUACGUUAAUAUUCUAAUUAAUUAUUUCUCAUACUGUUCCUUUGUAUGUUAUAGUACCCUAUUGUAAUCAACUUUAACUGUCA